rnacentral:rRNA from 1 species
AGCUCCAAUAGCGUAUAUUAAAGUUGUUGCAGUUAAAAAGCUCGUAGUUGGAUUUCUGGUAGGAGUGACCGUUCCGGACUUGAUUGUCUGUGUAUUGUGUUGUCUCCAGCCAUCCUUGUGGAGAACUUUUCUUGCAUUAGUUUGUAGGGAUUGGGACCCGCAUCGUUUACUGUGAAAAAAUUAGAGUGUUUAAAGCAGGCAAUCGCUUGAAUACAUUAGCAUGGAAUAAUAAGAUAGGACUUUGGUACUAUUUUGUUGGUUUGCAUACCAAAUUAAUGAUCAACAGGAACAGUUUGAGGAUAUUCGUAUGAACAUGUCAGAGGUGAAAUUCUUGGAUUUUGAUCAGACGAACUACUGCGAAAGCAUUUAUCAAGGAUGUUUUCAUUAAUCAAGAACGAAA